AUAUGCAUCCUCUGGGAAUCUUGUUAAAAUGCAGGCUUUGAUUCAGUAAGUCUGGGUGGUGUGUGAGUGUCUGCAUUUCCAACAAGCUUCCAGGUGAUGCUGAC
rnacentral:pre_miRNA from 1 species